rnacentral:rRNA from 1 species
AAGGAACCAACAGGGAUGCCUUAGUAGCGGCGAGUGAAGCGGCAAAAGCUCAAAUUUGAAAUCUGGCACUUUCAGUGUCCGAGUUGUAAUUUGAAGAAGGUAUCUUUGGGUCUGGCUCUUGUCUAUGUUUCUUGGAACAGAACGUCACAGAGGGUGAGAAUCCCGUGCGAUGAGAUGUCCCAGACCUAUGUAAAGUUCCUUCGAAGAGUCGAGUUGUUUGGGAAUGCAGCUCUAAGUGGGUGGUAAAUUCCAUCUAAAGCUAAAUAUUGGCGAGAGACCGAUAGCGAACAAGUACAGUGAUGGAAAGAUGAAAAGAACUUUGAAAAGAGAGUGAAAAAGUACGUGAAAUUGUUGAAAGGGAAGGGCUUGAGAUCAGACUUGGUAUUUUGUAUGUUACUCUCUCGGGGGUGGCCUCUACAGUUUACCGGGCCAGCAUCAGUUUGAGCGGUAGGAUAAGUGCAAAGAAAUGUGGCACUGCUUCGGUAGUGUGUUAUAGUCUUUGUCGAUACUGCCAGCUUAGACUGAGGACUGCGGCUUCGGCCUAGGAUGUUGGCAUAAUGAUCUUAAGUCGCCC